GAUUCCUUUGCCUAAGGAUGGAGAGAAUGGCCAGAUCCCUCUCCAUGUCUCAGGCUUUGGCCCUCCUUAUGUUCCUCACUUGGUCUUCAGGUUCCUCCUCACAGCUGGUGUUGACUCAACUUCCCUCAGCAUCCUUUUCCUUGGGUGAGAAUGUGCAUCUCACCUGUGCCAUGUCCUCUGGAUACAGCAUCAGUGACCACAGGGUUCGCUGGUACCAGCAGACAUCCGGUGGUGUUCCUAGGUUUCUUUACCAUUAUUAUAGCAGUAGUUCCCAGGGCAGAGGCUCAGGGGUCCCAGAAAGAUUCAGUGUCUCUCCUGAUGCCUCCAACAAUCUCUGGAAACUGGUCAUUACCGGAGUUCAACCUGAAGAUGAGGACAAUUACUACUGUAACACAUGGGAUGGCAAGGCCAAUGUGUACCACAGUGCCUUCAACCACAUUCUGAUGUUACUCAGCUCUCUGUGUCCUGAUUUUCGUCUGUGA